GGGCGGUUAGCUCAGUUGGCUAGAGCGUCUGUUUUACACACAGAAGGCCAGAGGUUCAAGUCCUCUACCGCCCACCA
rnacentral:tRNA from 1 species